UACUUUUAUAAUGAAAAGUUGUUCGUAAAACCCAAACCGUUGCUGAAUGCCACGGUCUCUAGAACGCUGCCAUGGAAGGUUGCUUGAUGAGAUGCUCUCACGGCGGCGCUCUCUUGAAAACCCUCAAACCUCUCCGUUUGUACCUCCCCAGGAACUCCAUUUGCAGCUCUUCCAUGUCUAUCCACUCCGGCGGGGGAGGAUCGGCUGUCAGCCGCAUGGCCUACGACGCAUUGCUGUUAGACGCCGGAGGCACUCUGCUUCAGCUGAAAAAACCAGUCGAAGAAGUUUACGCUUCCAUCGGAACCAAAUACGGUGUGGCUGCAACUCCAGCUGAAAUCAAGCAAGGUUUCAGAAGAGCUUUUUCUGCUCCUUGGCCUCAGAAGCUUCGUUACCAGGGAGAUGGGAGGCCGUUUUGGAAACUUGUUGUGUCUGAAGCCACUGGUUGUGCUAAUCUCGAUUAUUUCGAACAAGUUUAUGAGUACUAUGCGAAAGGUGACUCAUGGCGUCUUCCGGAUGGAGCUUAUGAAACAAUGCUCCGUCUCAAAGAUGCUGGAGUUAAGCUGGCUGUUGUAUCGAAUUUCGACUCCCGCUUGAGGAAGCUGCUUGAGGACCUUAAUGUUUUGCAUCUGUUUGAUGCUGUUAUCAUAUCUUCAGAAGUUGGGUAUGAAAAACCAGAUGCAGGCAUAUUCAAAGCUGCUUUAGAUCAAGUUCAUGUGGAUGCUGGCAAAGCAGUACAUGUUGGGGACGAUGAAAUUGCGGAUAAGGAUGGCGCCAAUGCCAUUGGAAUCGAUUGCUGGUUAUGGGGUCUAGAUGUGAAGACAUUCUCUGAAAUUCGAAACCGCAUUCUCAUUUCAGAGUCAUAGCUUCCAAAGAACCAAGGUACCACACUGUGUUUUGCCGAUUGUAAUUCAAGCUGGUUCGAUCCUUAUUUGUUCCUCAUUUUCAGGAACAAUUCAAUAUGACGAUUCCAUCUGUUGUGACGACCUCUAGGCUGCAUUUCUUGAAGCUCAAGUCAACCGUCCCAUGUCGAAAAUUUUGGACAAAGCAGAGAAUCUUGGGAUGCUAGAGCAAAUGAUUCCAUACAAGCAAUGACAGGCCAUCUUCUACUUGUCCACGCCAACUUCUUUGAAUGUGCUGGAUUGGCAAUCGGAGUCAGCAUGUCACAUGAGGCCGCCGAUGUAUGUAUGGGCAGCACAUUUAUUAAAACCUGGGCUGCAACUGCCCUCGGCUUGGCCAGUAGUACUAGGAAUGGUGAUCAUUAUCAAGUGCUGCUUCCUCCAGAUCCCGAUUUUGGUGCCGUGGCUUCUUUCUACCCACCACUAGAUUUCCUACACACAGGUUGUGGAAGUCGCUAUAGACAAUUGUACUUCAACAACGAGGUUUUUGUUUGAUGGCUCAAAGAUUGCCACUCUCAAGUCCAAAGCUGCCAGGGCCACGGUACCCAACCCAACCCGUGUUGUAGUAGCGUUGACGCUCAUUUGGAAAUGCGCUAUGGAAGCAUCAAGAUCAAACUCGGGUUAUGUAAGCCCGUCGACAUGGUGUUAGCCGGUGAACUUGUGACGGAGUCCCCUUCUAUUGAAUGAUCCGUUGAAUAACUGGAAGCAAAUUUUCUUGCUAAUGUUGUUGCCUCCGCUGGUAACUAUCUCAAUGUAAUCCCACUUUUGGGUUAAUUGAUUUAAGUAACGAUGUCAUUGGCGGAACGGAAAAUGUCAUCGAUCAGCUCAAACAGCGAAUGUUUCAAGUGGAAAAGAAAUGGAUAUUCAUUGAAAAUCAAUGGAGC